UCCUAGUACGAGAGGACCGGAGUGGACGAACCUCUGGUGUUCGGGUUGUGUCGCCAGACGCAUUGCCCGGUAGCUAAGUUCGGAAUUGAUAAGCGCUGAAAGCAUCUAAGCGCGAAGCGAGCCCUGAGAUGAGUCUUCCCUGACAGUUUAACUGUCCUAAAGGGUUGUUCGAGACUAGAACGUUGAUAGGCAGGGUGUGUAAGCGUUGUGAGGCGUUGAGCUAACCUGUACUAAUUGCCCGUGAGGCUUAACCAUACAACACCCAAGGGGUUUUGUA
rnacentral:rRNA from 1 species